CCAGGUUUUUGGGCAACGACUGUGUUUCUAUCUCUCAUUCGUUGUUUUCGAAACCUGUGC
rnacentral:pre_miRNA from 1 species